CACUUGUUUAGUUUGAACUGGGAUCCCUCAUAGGUGAUUUUUGCAGCUUUUUCAUUAUAUACGCCUUUGUGUAUUAGGUUUUUUUGGGGGUAAAUGGGAAGGUGCACUAGUAAACCUGUGUCUUUUUGGCUUGUAAUGUAUUGAUGAGACAUGAUAUUAGGAGUCUUGACUUGUUUUUAUUUGAUAUUCUAGAAUUCUUGUUGCUUGAGAAGGAAAAGAUUGAAAUGAUAGAUACAUGGGCGAGUUAGAUUUUGAUUAUUAUAGAGGACUUUUCCUUGGACACUGACCAAUGUAAGUUUUAUUUAGAAAUGUUUUUUUCAUUGUCUUUAAGUAAUUACUUGUGGAUUAAAUGCAGUGCAACCAACAACCAGGUUCAUGAGAAUGCCGUUAUAUGGUGAUCAAACAUAUGCGGGAGUUUGUUGAGAGAAUUCAACAUGACUUUAUUAAUAACUUAUGGAAUGCAAAAGAGAAGACCACACAUGAGAAAAUUGAAAUUAUGAUCGUCCACUUAAUGGAGCAUUGGAUUAAGGUGUUCGGUGUUUGAGGGCCAGAGAUGAACUUCGUAAAUGCGUUUCAAGGCAAUUUCUAAGGUUUUCGGUUGCAAGUAUGAAUUGAAGACGUUGGGUUUGGGUUGCAAGCAUGAAGACAUCAGUUCAGGGAGUCAUUGUAUAUCAUAUUCAUCUUUAGAGAUAUAUGUAUUUGUGUUACUUUGAAACUUUUCUAAUUUUGUGUUACUUUGAAACCUUUGUAAUUUAUAUUGGUUUUAAUUUAGUUUUGUUUUUUGUA